UUGGACUCCUGAAUACAAUGAAAAUCAGAUUAACUAUCUUCUAUCCACAUUUUUUUGCAGAUGUGCAUUUUCGAACUAAUUACAGCAGUAUAUUGAUGAACAAUAUGGUAAAGAGUGAAUGUUCUUUGACCAGAAAUAGAAAUACCUACAAAGAAAUGACAACUGGACAUAUCUGAGGAGGGGGUGUAAGCACAGCCUCAUUAAUAACACACCACACGUUUAAAAGGAUGGAUGGCAGGUAAACACUUAAAAAGAUGGAUUUUGCUUUCAGA
rnacentral:lncRNA from 1 species